rnacentral:rRNA from 1 species
UACGUAGGGGGCUAGCGUUGUCCGGAAUCAUUGGGCGUAAAGCGCGUGUAGGCGGCCCGGCAAGUCCGCUGUGAAAGUCGGGGGCUCAACCCCAAGCCUGCGGUCGAUACGGGCAGGCUAGAGUUCGGUAGGGGAGACUGGAAUUCCUGGUGUAGCGGUGAAAUGCGCAGAUAUCAGGAGGAACACCGGUGGCGAAGGCGGGUCUCUGGGCCGAUACUGACGCUGAGGAGCGAAAGCGUGGGGAGCGAACAGG